GGGCUGGUGGUGUAAUGGUUAGCACGCCGCGCCUUGGAACCUUGGAGUGCGAGGUCCUGAGUUCAAUCCCAGGCUGGUCCA